rnacentral:rRNA from 1 species
GACGAACGCUGGCGGCGUGCCUAAUACAUGCAAGUCGAACGCAGUGGGGACGGGUGAGUAACACGUGGGUAACCUCCCAUCAGAGGGGAUAACACUUGGAAACAGGUGCUAAACCGAUACUGAUGGAUGGAACCGCGGUGCAUUAGCUAGUUGGUGAGGUAACGGCUCACCAAGGCCACGAUGCAUAGCUGACCUGAGAGGUGGAUCGGCCACCCUUGUACUUGGGCACGGUCCUGACUCCUACGGGAGGCAGCAGUUGGGAAUCUUCGGCAAUGGACGAAAGUCUGACCGAGCAACGCCGCGUGAGUGAAGAAGGUUUUCGGAUCGUAAAACUCUGUUGUUAGAGAAGCGGUAUCUACCCAGAAAGCCACGGCUAACUACGUGCCAGCCGCCGCGGUAAUUC